GGGUGAGUAUAAUGUGGGAAUCUGCCUUUUGGUUUGGAAUAACACGAGGAAACUUGUGCUAAUACCGGAUAAGCCCUUACGGGGAAAGUUUUAACGCCAAAAGAUGAGCCCGCACUUGAUUAGCUAGUUGGUGAGGUAAUUGCUCACCAAGGCAACGAUCAAUAGCUGUUCUUAGAGGAAGACCAGCCACAUUGGGACUGAGACACGGCCCAAACUCCUACGGGAGGCAGCAGUGGGGAAUCUUGCACAAUGGGGGAAACCCUGAUGCAGCGAUGCCGCGUGAGUGAAGAAGGCCUUUGGGUUGUAAAACUCUUUCGUCGGGGAAGAAAAUGACUGUACCCGAAUAAGAAGGUCCGGCUAACUUCGUGCCAGCAGCCGCGGUAAUACGAAGGGACCUAGCGUAGUUCGGAAUUACUGGGCUUAAAGAGCUCGUAGGUGGUUAAAAAAGUUGAUGGUGAAAUCCCAAGGCUCAACCUUGGAACUGCCAUCAAAACUUUUUAGCUAGAGUAUGAUA
rnacentral:rRNA from 1 species